rnacentral:rRNA from 1 species
UACGUAUGGAGCAAGCGUUAUCCGGAUUCACUGGGUGUAAAGGGAGCGUAGGCGGCCCGACAAGUCUGAUGUGAAAGCCCGCGGCUCAACCGCGGCACUGCAUUGGAAACUGUUAGGCUGGAGUACCGGAGGGGCAAGUGGAAUUCCUAGUGUAGCGGUGAAAUGCAUAGAUAUUAGGAGGAACACCAGUGGCGAAGGCGGCUUGCUGGACGGUAACUGACGCUGAGGCUCGAAAGCGUGGGGAG